rnacentral:rRNA from 1 species
GAGUUUGAUCGUGGCUCAGGAUGAACGCUGGCGGCGUGCCUAAUACAUGCAAGUCGAGCGAACAGACGAGGAGCUUGCUCCUCUGACGUUAGCGGCGGACGGGUGAGUAACACGUGGAUAACCUACCUAUAAGACUGGGAUAACUUCGGGAAACCGGAGCUAAUACCGGAUAAUAUAUUGAACCGCAUGGUUCAAUAGUGAAAGACGGUUUUGCUGUCACUUAUAGAUGGAUCCGCGCCGCAUUAGCUAGUUGGUAAAGUAACGGCUUACCAAGGCAACGAUGCGUAGCCGACCUGAGAGGGUGAUCGGCCACACUGGAACUGAGACACGGUCCAGACUCCUACGGGAGGCAGCAGUAGGGAAUCUUCCGCAAUGGGCGAAAGCCUGACGGAGCAACGCCGCGUGAGUGAUGAAGGUCCUCGGAUCGUAAAACUCUGUUAUUAGGGAAGAACAAAUGUGUAAGUAACUAUGCACGUCUUGACGGUACCUAAUCAGGAAGCCACGGCUAACUACGUGCCAG